rnacentral:rRNA from 1 species
GAUGAACGCUGGCGGCGUGCCUAAUACAUGCGAGUCGAGCGAACGGACGAGAAGCUUGCUUUUCUGAUGUUAGCGGCGGACGGGUGAGUAACACGUGGAUAACCUACCUAUAAGACUGGGAUAACUUCGGGAAACCGGAGCUAAUACCGGAUAAUAUUUUGAACCGCAUGGUUCAAAAGUGAAAGACGGUCUUGCUGUCACUUAUAGAUGGAUCCGCGCUGCAUUAGCUAGUUGGUAAGGUAACGGCUUACCAAGGCAACGAUGCAUAGCCGACCUGAGAGGGUGAUAGGCCACACUGGAACUGAGACACGGUCCAGACUCCUACGGGAGGCAGCAGUAGGGAAUCUUCCGCAAUGGGCGAAAGCCUGACGGAGCAACGCCGCGUGAGUGAUGAAGGUCUUCGGAUCGUAAAACUCUGUUAUUAGGGAAGAACAUAUGUGUAAGUAACUGUGCACAUCUUGACGGUACCUAAUCAGAAAGCCACGGCUAACUACGUG